GAUGAACGCUGGCGGCGUGCCUAAUACAUGCAAGUCGAGCGAACAGACGAGGAGCUUGCUCCUCUGACGUUAGCGGCGGACGGGUGAGUAACACGUGGAUAACCUACCUAUAAGACUGGGAUAACUUCGGGAAACCGGAGCUAAUACCGGAUAAUAUAUUGAACCGCAUGGUUCAAUAGUGAAAGACGGUUUUGCUGUCACUUAUAGAUGGAUCCGCGCCGCAUUAGCUAGUUGGUAAGGUAACGGCUUACCAAGGCAACGAUGCGUAGCCGACCUGAGAGGGUGCUCGGCCACACUGGAACUGAGACACGGUCCAGACUCCUACGGGAGGCAGCAGUAGGGAAUCUUCCGCAAUGGGCGAAAGCCUGACGGAGCAACGCCGCGUGAGUGAUGAAGGUCUUCGGAUCGUAAAACUCUGCUAUUAGGGAAGAACAAAUGUGUAAGUAACUAUGCACGUCUUGACGGUACCUAAUCAGAAAGCCACGGCUAACUACGUG
rnacentral:rRNA from 1 species